rnacentral:rRNA from 1 species
UAAGGAAUAUUGGUCAAUGGGCGGAAGCCUGAACCAGCCAUGCCGCGUGCAGGAAGACGGCCCUACGGGUUGUAAACUGCUUUUGUACCGGAAUAAACCCCCAUUCGUGAAUGGGGCUGAAUGUACGGUAAGAAUAAGGAUCGGCUAACUCCGUGCCAGCAGCCGCGGUAAUACGGAGGAUCCGAGCGUUAUCCGGAUUUAUUGGGUUUAAAGGGUGCGUAGGCGGCCUGUUAAGUCAGGGGUGAAAGACGGUAGCUCAACUAUCGCAGUGCCCUUGAUACUGAUGGGCUUGAAUGUACUAGAGGUAGGCGGAAUGUGACAAGUAGCGGUGAAAUGCAUAGAUAUGUCACAGAACACCAAUUGCGAAGGCAGCUUACUAUGGUAUUAUUGACGCUGAGGCACGAAAGCGUGGGGAUCAAACA